AUGUUUUUCAAAAGCGUUUAUGGAAGAAGGCAACACCACAAAGCCGAUGUGGAAGAAAAAGCAACACCGCCCGUAGUUGAUUCUCCUAUGGUACGGAGGUCCUCUGUUAUGGUGACACAUACACAUGUUAUGCUCUCAGUUUAUUUAAUGUUGUUUUGGUAUGGUGUUGAUGGUGUGUCUCUCCUUUGUUUGUCCCAGAAAAUAGAAACAUUGACUGAGGAGCCCAAGAUGGAAACCACACCUGUCAAACCAAACACAUCAUCCAGCCCACACAAGGCGUCGCCAUUAUUUAAAACCGCGGGGGGCAUCCCGCAACUAGACAAAAGAAGUCCGUUUGUGCUGCUUAAAAAUAUAUAUCGAUCAUCUGGCGGGUAUCAGUGUGAGCAUUGCGAUCAGAGCGUCGCCAGCGUUUCACAGCUCAUGGAACACAGAAAACGGCACAGCUCCUUUGUCUGUGAGAAAUGUGGACUGUCCUUCGAAAGGCACGCCGAUUUCACCAAGCACCAAUGUGUUCCCGAGCCCUUCUUUCUGUGCAACAUGUGUGAUCGGUCUUUCUCUACACGGCCUAACCUCAAGCGCCAUCGGCUGAUGCACGUCAAAGACGGCAGGAAGUGUCCCACGUGCGGCGUGCUGUUCUGUCAACGCCACAAUCACGUUUUGUUCGCGCCACUGCCGCCGUCCAUAACCGAGUACGAAGAGGAUUCCACCGCCACCGGGCCCCAAAAUGCCUACGGCACUGACCGGGGUCACCAUGCUGAAAGCAGUGUGGCCACCGAGACCCAACGUCCAGCCCCGUGUGCAAAGAUCUCUUCAGAAAUCUUUGUGCCCGUGUUAUGCAAGCCUCCCUCUCAGUCGGGUCCACCGCUGCCGGUAACCAAGGUUACAAGGAAAUCUCCGACCGCGUCGUGUCAUGCAUCCUUCGCUCAGACGCUUCUGCCUCCACAUCCAGAACUUCCACCCUCACUGAAGCUCUUUUCACCAAAGUACCUCACCUCAGCAUUUCUUCAGGUUAAAAGAAAUUAUGAAUAUAUUUUAAGCAAACCAAAAGGUGUCAACAAGACUUGUGAAGGAGAAACCAUGAAAGCGGCCUCUGAUUCCUCCGCAUGA
ensembl:lncRNA